rnacentral:rRNA from 1 species
UACGAAGGGGGCUAGCGUUUUUCGGAAUUACUGGGCGUAAAGCGCGUGUAGGCGGGCCGUUAAGUCGGGGGUGAAAGCCCAGAGCUCAACUCUGGAACUGCCUUUGAUACUGGCGGCCUGGAGCAUGAUAGAGGCUAGUGGAAUUGCGAGUGUAGAGGUGAAAUUCGUAGAUAUUCGGAGGAACACCAGUGGCGAAGGCGACUCGCUGGAUCAUUGUUGACGCUGAGACGCGAAAGCGUGGGGAGCAAACAGG